ensembl:lncRNA
AGGGAGGGAUGUGUGGACAGGGAUCUGUCGUUGGGCCGUCUUCGGGGGGAAGGGCCAUUUGAUGCUAACACCAACCCCUCAGUGGCUCCUUUGAUCAAUGGCUUAAAGAACAAAAUAGGGUAGUGCCUUCCCAACCAUUCUCUAAACCCAGCCAUCCCACCUUCCACUUCCUGGUCCAUCCAUCCAUCCGUCAGGUCCCCCAUGGCAAACUCCAUAGCCCCCUUUUUCCUGCCCCGAGUGGCGGACCUCAGCCUGCCCCCCUGUGGAGAGACGCAGUGCAAUGGGAGGGGAACUUGCAAGGACCCCAUAGCAGGAGGAGGAGGAAGCUUCUGUGACUGCAUGCUAGGAUACAAGGGGGAUAGGUGCGAGGACACGGUGAACGAUUCCCUGAGUGUGUCCCUGACCCUCGGGGUGCUGGCCUUCAUCGUGGGAUUCAUCCUCAUCGCCUUCCUCGUCGCCAAGAUCCGACAGAGGCAGAAGAAGAGGAAGAGGUCAGAGUUAAUAACCAGGGGAUACCGGGUGGAUGUGUGACCGGGAGGUCUGAGCACGAUGCGCAGCGUGGACCAGAACAAUUCAGAACGAUCACAAAACUGACUGAAGAUCAUUGAGACCUGACCGAUGAAAACCACCAACAUACAACAUUAGUGCUGUAAUACCGAUCACUAUGACCAUUGUUGCUUUUCUUUACAUGCAGUCAACUGUGUUUUCACCUUACCAUGAUGUGUAGUAUUUAUCAGACAUGCAAAGGCUUUGUAAGCAAAGGUAGAUGUGUGUCCUAAACUAGUUCCCUGCAUUGUAUUUGCAUCCCAUCAUAUUUAACAGGAGUCAAUACUUGAAAAACCAGUUCGUCUUCAUUUAACAUGAGGUCUCCUGUGAUUGGCUGGAGCUAGCUGGGAACUAGGGGACCGUCUGAUUGGUCCGCGCAGUUAUGAAAUAUUUUUCAUGUUUAAAAGAAAACAUUUCACGUUAUUGAUCACUUACCUUCCGUUAAAUGUUCUUUAUAGUUAAUUUUGCUAUUUAGUGGUUCUGUGCUAAACUAGCUGUAGGCUAUAAAACAUAUGUUUAUGCUUUUAUACAUUAUUCAAUGCUCU